GAUUAUUGUGUUGUGUGUUCUUUUAUGUGACGGUUUGAGUGUAGGAAAAUGUGCGACAGGAGGAGACACUGGGCCGCCGCGGAGUUGGGAUGUGUUUCCGCCAAGAUGUCUUGGGGUACUGCAGUGUGAACCUAGGUAAAAGACAGCCAUACUUUUUUUAUUUUUUACAUUCUUACAACACGUUUCCAGCUUCCCCCCCCCCCCUUGUAGGCACUGCACACACAUGGCACACAGAUAUGUAUAUAUGUGCAGCCAAAACACCUAUACACAUAAAUAACUUUUAAAAAUUAAGUAAUUAAGUUCACUUUUAAGUAAGAGAGUGACAAAACUCAUUGAAGUUUUAAGAGGAUAACAGUUGUGGUGGCACAUGUGGGUAGGAUUUGCUGAAGGAGGCAGAGGUAGGAGGAUAGUGAAUUUCAGAAUAUCCUGGGCUAAUAUUAGCUGGUUGCUGGUGGCACACACUUUUAAUCCUAACACUCAAGAGGCAAAGGCAGGUGGAUCUCUGAGUUCGAGGCCAGCCUGGUCUACAGAGCUAGUUGAGGACAGCCAGAGCUAUACAGAGAAACACUGUCUCAACAAAAAAAAAAAAAA
rnacentral:lncRNA from 1 species